rnacentral:rRNA from 1 species
UUCCGUAGGUGAACCUGCGGAGGGAUCAUUACAGAGUUGCAAAACUCCCAAACCAUCGUGAACGUUACCUACAUCGUUGCUUCGGCGGGUGGCGGGCUUCGGCCCUGCCCUCGGCCCCUCUCGGGGGCCCGCCGGAGGUACACCAAACUCUUGAAUUUACAUGGCCUCUCUGAGUCUUCUGUACUGAAUAAGUCAAAACUUUCAACAACGGAUCUCUUGGUUCUGGCAUCGAUGAAGAACGCAGCGAAAUGCGAUAAGUAAUGUGAAUUGCAGAAUUCAGUGAAUCAUCGAAUCUUUGAACGCACAUUGCGCCCGCCAGUAUUCUGGCGGGCAUGCCUGUCCGAGCGUCAUUUCAACCAUCAAGCCCCCGGCUUGUGUUGGGGACCUGCGGCACACCCGCAGGCCCUGAAAACCAGUGGCGGGCUCGCUGUCCACACCGAGCGUAGUAGCAUAUCUUUGUCUCGCUCAGGGCGUGCGGCGGGUUCCGGCCGUGAAACCCACCUUCUCGAAGGUACCCAAAGGUGACCUCGGAUCAGUAGAGACCCGAUUCC